rnacentral:lncRNA from 10 species
GGACACUGCUGAUGACUUCUGAGACUCCCGGAGGAAUAUCAGAGAGGUGCCACAGAGCCACAGAUGCCUUUUGAGGUCCUCGGUCUUCCUCAUGGAGCCUCAAGGGUUAUAGGAGUACAUGCACCAUCAGAAAAUGCUAAAAGAAGAAAAUGAAAAUCAUUCCAUAAUAUCAUCACUGUUAACAAAGUGGUGUUUUACCUUGAAGAAGGAGGAACGGAGCCAUGAGCCAAGGAAUGCAAGUAGCCUCCAGAAGUUAGAAAAUGCAAGGAAACUUUCAGGUCAUCUUGUAGAGGCACCAGAAGAAACACAGCCUGAUGACACCUUGAUUUUAGCCCAGUUAAACUCAUUUUGGAUUUCUGACCUCCAGAAUUGUAAGAUAAUAA